AGCCAAUAGAUACCCGGGUAGUCCACGCCCUAAACGAUGUCUACUAGUUGUUGGUGGAGUAAAACUCCAUGAGUAAACGCAGCUAAACGCGUGAAGUAGACCGCCUGGGGAGUACGGUCGCAAGAUUAAAAACUCAAAGGAAUUGACGGGGGCCCGCACAAGCGGUGGAUUAUGUGGAUUAAAUUCGAUGCAACGCGAAAAACCCUUACCUGGCCUUGACAUGCCACUAACGAAGCAGAGAUGCAUUAGGUGCCCGUAAGGGAAAGUGGACACAGGUGCUGCAUGGCUGUCGUCAGCUCGUGUCGUGAGAUGUUGGGUUAAGUCCCGCAACGAGCGCAACCCUUGCCAUUAAUUGCCAUCAUUUAGUUGGG
rnacentral:rRNA from 1 species